rnacentral:rRNA from 1 species
GACAGAGGUGCCGAGCGUUAGGCGGAAUCACUGGGCUUAAAGCGUGUGUAGGCGGAUCGUUAAGUACCUUGUGAAAUCCCCCGGCUCAACCGGGGAACUGCUGGGUAUACUGGUUGUCUUGAGCCUUCUAGGGGCGAGUGGAACAAAUGGUGGAGCGGUGAAAUGCGUAGAUAUCAUUUGGAACGCCAAUGGUGAAAACAACUCGCUGGGGAAGUGCUGACGCUGAGACACGAAAGCCAGGGGAGCGAACGGG